rnacentral:lncRNA from 1 species
AUGAUUUCCUUACUAAUUCCUAGAGAAUGGAAGUUGGCUCGAGUACUGAGUCAUGAGGAUUUCAUCUCAAUACAGAUAUUUUUAGUAUCUGUUAUUUUAUCUUGGGUACUUUUAAAAUCUGUAUCACUGCCCAACUCCUCUCCUAAUUAUCUGAAAUUCUUUUCUUCUGUAACAGCUUUGGAAUGUGCCCUUCUAUUAUUACAAAUACUGGCUGCAUUAGAUUGGGUCCAAACUGCUCAUCCAUCGAUUGAUUUAGGUCACACCAUGGAGGAGCAGCCAAGCAGCUGGAGACUGUCCAAUGGCCACACUCCACCCCAAGUAUUUUCUGAGAUGAGAAAAUUACCCUUUGGCUGCUUCUCAACUUGCUUUUCUUGGGCUGAUCUUUUGAAUCCAAAUUAGAAGAUGAUGGGCCAAGCGAUAACGCCUGCGCUGCUGUCGCUGCAUUUGCCUGCUACCAGCUCCAACAUCAAGCAAAUUUUGACCCUGGAUAGGGAAUAAACCCCUCUGGCAGGGUGUGUAAGAGAAGAAA